UGGGAUGUAGCUCAGUGGUAGAGCUCUUGCCUACAAGAACUAAGUUAAAAAGUAUGAAGCCCUGGGUUCGAUCCCCAGCACCACAC
rfam:Ictidomys tridecemlineatus contig033082, whole genome shotgun sequence.